GUCGAGAAUCUUCCGCAAUGCGCGAAAGCGUGACGGAGCGACACCGCGUGAUGGAUGAAGUCCUUCGGGGCGUAAACAUCUUUUAUAAAGGAGGAAAUUUUUGACGUUACUUUAUGAAUAAGGGGCUCCCAAUCUCGUGCCAGAAGGAGCGGUAAUACGAGAGCCUCAAGCGUUAUCCGGAAUCAUUGGGCGUAAAGGGUGCGUAGGUGGUUUGAUUAGUCUCCCGUUAAAACUUCGAGCUUAACUCGAAAAGAGCGGGGGAAACGGUCAAACUAGAGUAUGUGAGAGGUGUGUGGAACUCAUGGUGUAGGGGUGAAAUCCGUUGAUAUCAUGGGGAACACCAAAAGCGAAGGCAGCACACUGGCACAUCACUGACACUGAGGCACGAAACCUAAGGUAGCGAAUGGGAUUAGAUACCCGGGUAGUCC
rnacentral:rRNA from 1 species